GGUGGAUUCUUCACCAUCUGAGCACCAAGGAAGCCCAUGGGCAACUCUAAUUCUCCAGAAAUCUGGGCCUUUUUCUUGCUGAGCUCUAAGAGGACUUUCCUCCCCUCAUCUGGUCAACUCUACUUUGUUCUUUGGGUCUCAGCUUAGAUCUCCUCCCUCCAUGGAAGCCUUUCUUGAACUUGACUCCUUUUCCACAGGCCUGGGUAGCUCACCUUAUUCUCCGUGCUUACAGACACUCUGCUUUUCUGAACAUUUCUCAUCAUGGUUGGAAUGAAUUAUCUGGGUGGAGCCACCUCCACUUUACCUUGGUUUGAGUGCUUGCCGGUGCCAGGCUCCGGGUCCUGAGUGGCUCUUUGUUGCCUCAAAGACCAAACCCUGUCCAGUCAGACUUGCACAGCUCUCUGUCUUCAUUGGAACUGACUCAUUGGAAGAGACCCUGGUGCUGGGAAAUAUUGAAGGCAAGAGGAGAAGGGGAUGACAGAGGAUGAGAUGGUUGGAUGGCAUCACCAACUCGAUGGACAUGAGUUUGAGCAAGCUCCAGGAGUUGGUGAUGGACAGGGAGGCCUGGCAUGCUGCAGUCCACAGGGUCGCAAAGAGUCAGACACGACUGAGCAACUGAACUGAACUGUCUUAAUUUUCUCAUGCAGUCCUCAAAGCAGCUCUGGGCCGUGUCUCAUCACCCACUUCUACACGUGUCCAACUCUGCAAUUCAGGAUCAGCAAUUGCCCUGAAUCUCCCAGCUCCUGAGUAGUACUGAGAGGACUUGAACCCAGGAUUCUGAUAACAAUUCACUGGCUCUUUUUUUUUGUUUUUUCCACCAUUUAGCAUAUUCCUAGGGAGAUGCCAUUUUCUCAAAUGUUUGGGCAAUGGCAGCUUGGUUUAAGUGCGGAAUAAGUGUGUGGCCUCACAAUUAGGAGAUAAAGGAGACCACUGUGGAGAAGACCACUGUUUGAAAAAAAACAUAAAAAGGCUUUACUAUCGUGGUGAUAUGCUUACCACACCCGCUUCUAUACCCAUGGACUCACUUUUCCUGCCUCUUGUCUGCAAGUUCCUCCUCCUCCCCUGUCUCUUCUCCUCCUACUUCUCUUUUCUUCACUUUUUUUUUUUUUCAUCUUUCUCAAUGAUCCCUCUCCCUGAAAGGGAGAAAAGGCUUUCCAGAGCCCUCUGCUUAUAUAAUUUCUUCCUCCAUUAAUCUGUUGUCAAUUAGUUAAUAAUUAAUUACUAAGUGACCUACUAAUACUGGUUUGUUAGUACUCCUCUGAUGGCCUUUAUCAUAUUCUGCCUUGUUGUCAUCAUUACUUGGGGACUUGUCUUAGGGCAUCUGUUCAAUUCUCGGCUGGAUGAGAACAGUUUCUGGGUUGGUCUCACCCAGCCUGAACUUCUCGUGUGGUAUCAGAGGCUGGGCCAGAGCAAGACACUGAUUUAGCUCAAAGGUGCUGACAGCAGCCCAAUUCCCUCACCAGCAAAUGUCAAGAGGAAAUAUCUGCCAUGGAGAGGCCCCAAGAG
ensembl:lncRNA